AUCAAUCGUUUUCAAUUUCAAAAGAUUUUUGUAUUGUAUUCGAAGUAAUUCAGUUGCAUUUUACGCGUUAUAUUUUUUGUUUCUCCCCUUGUUUUUCAGGUAUGACUACAUACAUACAUUUAUGGUAGCUUUAUUCAGUAUGGUAUCUGUAAGUUGUACAAAAUACACAUUUAUGCAUGCAGUACUUAUCUUGAAUGGCAAAAUUAUUGAUGAGCUGCACAUUGAACUAUUUAAUGGCUUUGAGUUAGAAUCAAAUUUCGUAUUUUUGAUCACUUGAACUUGAGUUUUGAGCUAAAAAGAAGUCGGCUACCCAUCCAGCUAGAUGCGCGUGGCAUGUCUGGGUAUGAGCAUGACCUUUGAUUGGUAUGUGGAAUCGUUGAUUAGGGUUAUUUAUAUACAGAUUAUAAUAUCGUAUAAUCAUACGUAUAUAUAAGUAUUGCGUAAAUACGAUUUACAUUCGCUUAAUGAACAAUCACAACGCAGAGUAUUCGAAUUAAGUGAGUGAGCAGAGCGGUGCGUCGCUGUAGCUGAGUUAUUUCUUGAAAUAAGCUUUAGAGAACAAGGGGAAAAAUAGCACACGAUCCUUGUCACAGAUUGUCUUUCUCGUU
rnacentral:lncRNA from 1 species